UACGUAGGUGGCAAGCGUUGUCCGGAAUUAUUGGGCGUAAAGGGCGCGCAGGCGGUUCGGUAAGUCUGUCUUAAAAGUGCGGGGCUUAACCCCGUGAGGGGACGGAAACUGUCGAACUUGAGUGUCGGAGAGGAAAGCGGAAUUCCUAGUGUAGCGGUGAAAUGCGUAGAUAUUAGGAGGAACACCGGUGGCGAAAGCGGCUUUCUGGACGACAACUGACGCUGAGGCGCGAAAGCGUGGGGAGCAAACAGG
rnacentral:rRNA from 1 species